rnacentral:tRNA from 1 species
AUAUAGUAAGUGUUACACGAAACAAUUUGGUUGUUUAAAAGGAUUUUUACCACUAUAUG